CUACGGGCGGCUGCAGUGAGGAACAUUGCACAGUGGGGGGAACCCUGAUGCAGCAACGCCGCGUGGAGGAUGACGCAUUUCUUUUUUUAAACUCCUUUUAUAUGUCAAGAAAAUGACGGUAGCAUAUGAAUAAGCACCGGCUAACUCCGUGCCAGCAGCCGCGGUAAUACGGAGGGUGCAAGCGUUACUCGGAAUCACUGGGCGUAAAGGACGCGUAGGCGGGUUGGAAAGUCAGGUGUGAAAUCCUACAGCUUAACUGUAGAACUGCACUUGAAACUUCUAAUCUAGAGUAUGGGAGGGGGAGAUGGAAUUAGUGGUGUAGGGGUAAAAUCCGUAGAUAUCACUAGGAAUACCUAAAGCGAAGGCGAUCUCCUGGAACAUUACUGACGCUAAGGCGUGAAAGCGUGGGGAGCAAACAGGAUUAGAUACCCCCGUAGUC
rnacentral:rRNA from 1 species